AGGCAGAUCAAUCAAUUUUUAGGUUUAUAUAAAUAAUCCUAAAGUCGAUUGCUCUACCCAC
rnacentral:pre_miRNA from 1 species